UAUUCCUUACUUUGUACAUUUCCAUAACUAUUUAUUGUACAAGAUAAUAGUUCUUCUCCAAAGAUGUGAAAUUCCAAAGUACUCUCUUACAGAAGGUUGAAGAUGCAUUAGUGUUAGCCUUACUGGUGAAGCAGUCGAAAAUUAUUUUUGUAGAGCUCUUCAGCCUUCAGACAUGUUAUGUAUAUUCUUCACUGCUUGUUUUUUUUUUUUUUUCACUAGAGGUGUUAAAUUUUGAAUUCAAACAAUUAUUUUGCAUAUCUUCCUACUAGAAUUCUUUACAGCAAAAUAAAAUUAACAAAUGGACCUGCUGGGUAAGGGAACAAAUGGAGCUUUGAUCCUAAAAAAAAAAAAAAAUCCUUUAGUAAGCAGUUUCUGCUGCUGCAUGUGAAUGCAUCCCAUUUGUACUUGGUCCUCAAGCAGUGUUGAAAAUUCAGUAGUUUCUGUGACCAAAACUUCAAAGGAAUAUAACAAUAUUCACACAGCCUUUGUGCUAAAGCAUCCCUUUAAAACGAAAGGUACAUAAGGCAGUUUACUCUAGCUUCUUUAUGUUUUGUUUACAAGUUUUUUUCUAUCUUACUUUUCUUCCAAACCACCUACCUAAAAUUUUAAAGGUAGUAAAAUCGCAAAUUCUCCAGCCUAUUCUGAUUCCUACUUGAGAAUGUUUUAUUUGAGUGUAAGUGAGCUACAUAUACAGUGCAGAGGAAAGAGAAUGUAAAACCACUUAAAAAAAUUCACUUAUGAAAGCAUCUCUCUGAAUUCGUAAGGAAAGGAAGGUUAUGCCCAUAAAGGAACUGUUAUAAAGAAUAUUCCUUCCAAAUUCUGUUGUUCAAAAUAAACUAACCACUAGCAAGCAGUUUUUUUGUCUUCAUACAAAAUUUCCCUUUUACUAUUUGCCAAACUGAAGAGCAUGGUAAUGCUAAUUUAAGAAAAGAACUGACUCAGCAUUUACCAGAAAGUUUAAUCUUGUUAUCAUAUUUUUAAGAAUGUAUAGGAGUAAAAGUUUUCAUAAUCAUCAGUACAGAAAUAAACAACUGAAAAAUGUUUAAAAUUUGGAAUGUCUUGAAACUCACUAAAAAGGUGGCCAAAUUGGGCUGCAAUUCUUCCAGGUUUCUUUUUUAUUUAUAUUAAGUAUUAGUUAAAAGCAAGCAGUUAAAAAUAUAGUUCACAUGGCUGCUCUUACCUGCUUGGAGACAAUGUGGUAUUGAACUCUAGUAAAGCCAAGUGGUAGUAAUGCAAAUUUACUUUGAUUGCAUUUCACAUUACUCCUUCAAAUACAGGCUUACAGACAGAGCUAUAUUACGUGAAUAUGCCUCAAUUUAGAAUUGUUAGAUUUUAUUACAUUUAUGGAAUGGGUUUCAUUCUGUGAACUUAUAUUAUUAAAAGUGAGUAUGUAAACUUCAGUAUUAUUAAUACCCUCCUAAGGGAGCUGACGUCUUUGAACAAAUAAUUCCUAACAGCAAAGUUUAUCUUAUAAUGGAAAGGGCAGAUCCUCAAUUUGAUAAAUCCCUAUAGCUCAAUUCAAAUAAAUACAACUCUAAGGUAUACUCUGUUGAGAAUCUAGCCUUCUGUUUUUAAUCUUUAUGAAUUUUUAAUAAAUGAAAUCCCAGAUUUUAAUUGCACUUUUAAAAAUUUUUUGUAUUUUGAGUAUAGCCUGUAAAAUUUAUGUUAUUAGAGACUUUGAAUGCAUUUUCUCAAACUAAAGAAAUAUGCUGCAAAUUCAGCAACAAAAACAAAACACACAAACAUUCUACCUAAAAAUGAGCUUGAAAAUGGGCAAUGUUAUUGCACAUCUUUAAAAGAUAAAAUUAUAUAUGAUAUUGUGUCCUAUUAGACAUGUCUAGAAAUAAAUGCAGAACAGCAAGAUAUGUAAAUUCAAAGCACUGUCUUUGUAUAGCUUAUGCGACUCCUUGUAACUAGCUUUACAACUAAAAUAUUAACUUAUUAACAUUUUCUUUAUUAAGCCUUCACUUAGCAGCCCUCUGUGAUGUGUCUUUCAGCCUUUGAAAUUUUGCAUUAGCUGCUACUGUUUUCACUGUACUGCAUGUAUUUGUGGCAUUAUCAGGCUAAUGAGAAACACUUUCAAAUAAACACUUAGGUGUAAUUUAAUUUUAUUUCACACCAGUGAGUGAAACAAAGGUUUGCUAUGCUGGUUUUUGUACUGUAGUUUUUCAUUUACUCAAGAGUCACUUUGCCACUAAGAACAAGGGAUUUUUCUAUCUUCCCUACUUUGAUACUUUAAUCCAGUAGUUUUAAUACGUGGAGGAAUCUACAACUGAUAACUAAGAAAACCAAGACUCUCAUCAAUUGUGUUAAUUAUAUGGGAGCAUGUUACAGCCUCGUAUUUAUUUUUUUUAGGAAACGCAAACCAAAAAAGCUUGAGAAAACCAUAUGGAUUUCUUGUAGCCUUGUGCUGCAAACCUUUGCAAAGUUGGCAUAAGCCCACUGUAAUUUGAAAUCCGACACAAAUGAACGUAGCUAAACUGCUGGAGGCCUCACUAGGUUCCAGCUGGUCUUUAGUAUGAAAAUGUGCCUUUAAAGGACACUGAAGGCAAUGGGGUCCAACAGCUGAAGCCUUCUCUACAGAAGAUCACUAUCUGAAGCACAGAAGGAAAACCUAUUCACUAGCUGCUUUUACUGGUAGUUCUGUACAAGAGAGAAAAAGGCGAUAAACUGCAAAUGGAUUCCAAACAUCUGAGAAAGAGAAUUAAAGUUGGAGGGCGCAACUCAGAGCAAAUGAUAUCAUUAAAAGUAUGAAGAGAAAAAAAAAAAAAAGUAAAUGGAGGGAGGCAGGGAAGGAAAGCUCUUUGUAAGAUCAGCAAGUAAGACAGGGAACCACAUUCUUUGAAGACAGGGCAAGCCAGAGCACAAGUUCACAUAGCAUAGAAUAUGUUUAAUGACACAAACUAAUAACAAUUAAGCCCCAGCAACAACUAAGAGGUAGCCUUUGCAACAAAGAUAAGCAUGUCAUCCCUGUUAACUAGCUAACUUGAUGCUUUUAUGUAGAUGUUGCCCUGAUCUAUACACAGAGUUCUCAAGUAGAUCACAAACACAGUCAAGGUGACGGGCUGUUUCUGGGUGCAGGCUGAAGGCUGAGUGCAGCUUUUAGGUUGGUCCGUCACCUCUAUGCUCUGUAGUGCAGAGACAGGUUAACACCACAGUGACUGAAAAAUCCUCCAAGGACAGGAAAGUCACUGACAAUUCAUUUGGGAAGGGAGAAACAUGUGGUGGGUCAACUUAUCACAGUACUAAGACUCAUGAAAAAUCUGCCAAAGAUCUAGAGCCAAGCGUACUGCAAAACGUGAAUUCAGAGAGACCAGAAACACUGCCAAAGGGGGACAAUAAGGUAAAAUAAGCAUUUAAUCUAUAAUAUUUAAAUUUCCAGUAAAACACCUGAAACCAGCAAAUCAAUUAAUGCUAAAUCUUAAAAUAAAAUGUAGUAGUCUUUUAAUAUAAAUUAUUCUGGAAAGAAGCUAAUGAAACCUUAAAGGUCCACCAGAAUUGUGACUGAGUUCAGGCAAGGACUCACUUUUUAAGUCUGCUGGUUGCCAAGGUUUUUUGGAUGCAUUUAUUCCCUUUGUGGAGACUAAAGAACACAGUUCUUUUAUGUGAAGUAUAUUCUUAUUAUUGAUAUACAAGCUUUCUUCGUAGCUUAUUACUGUGUGAUGUCUACAAGGUAUCUGACCAAAAUAAGGUGCUUACAAAAGACAGAAAUCCAAUAUGGGUUUUCAAAGCCUGUUUCAGUGAAGGUGGCUCCAAGAAUUACCGCUACUGAAAGGGUUAAACACGAAAAGCUCACAUCACUACUCAUGAAGAUAUUAAGCUUUCCCUUGAGUAGCUUACUGCAUCCAUUUCCAAUAUAAUUCUGUAUCCACCCAAGAAGUCCUGCAAUGUCAAAUGCCCAACUCUAUCUGUAAGUUAGAUGAUUACAAGAUAUAUAAAAAUCCCAAAGCCUUUAUUUGUAAGUUUAGCAUUACAGCAUUUACUGUUCAGAAUGACACAAUUAAGGCUGAUAA